rnacentral:rRNA from 1 species
UACAGAGGUCCCAAGCGUUUGUUCGGAUUCAUUGGGCGUAAAGGGCGCGUAGGCGGUAGCACAAGUCAGUUGUGAAAUCUCCGGGCUUAACUCGGAAAGGUCAACUGAUACUGUGCGACUAGAGUGCAGAAGGGGCAACUGGAAUUCUCGGUGUAGCGGUGAAAUGCGUAGAUAUCGAGAGGAACACCUGCGGCGAAGGCGGGUCUCUGGGCCGUAACUGACGCUGAGGAGCGAAAGCAUGGGGGAGCGAACAGG